GGGGGGGGGGGGGGGGGGGGGGGGGGGGGGGGGGGCGGGGGGCGGGGGAGGGGGGGCGUGCGCGUACGGGGGGGGGGUGGGGGAGGGGGGAGGAAUACAGCGGAAUCUCCUUUUUGGUGGGGGAUAACGUAGGGGAACUUACGCUAAUACCGCAUACGACCUACGGGUGAAAGCAGGGGAUCUUCGGACCUUGCGCGAUUGAAUGAGCCGAUGUCGGAUUAGCUAGUUGGCGGGGUAAAGGCCCACCACGGCGACGAUCCGUAGCUGGUCUGAGAGGAUGAUCAGCCACACUGGAACUGAGACACGGUCCAGACUCCUACGGGAGGCAGCAGUGGGGAAUAUUGGACAAUGGGCGCAAGCCUGAUCCAGCCAUACCGCGUGGGUGAAGAAGGCCUUCGGGUUGUAAAGCCCUUUUGUUGGGAAAGAAAAGCAGCAGGUUAAUACCCCGCUGUUCUGACGGUACCCAAAGAAUAAGCACCGGCUAACUUCGUG
rnacentral:rRNA from 1 species